rnacentral:rRNA from 1 species
GAUGAACGCUGGCGGCGUGCCUAAUACAUGCAAGUCGAGCGAACGGACGAGAAGCUUGCUUCUCUGAUGUUAGCGGCGGACGGGUGAGUAACACGUGGAUAACCUACCUAUAGGGCUGGGAUAACUUCGGGAAACCGUAGCUAAUACCGGAUAAUAUUUUGAACCGCAUGGUUCAAAAGUGAAAGACGGUCUUGCUGUCACUUAUAGAUGGAUCCGCGCUGCAUUAGCUAGUUGGUAAGGUAACGGCUUACCAAGGCAACGAUGCAUAGCCGACCUGAGAGGGUGAUCGGCCACACUGGAACUGAGACACGGUCCAGACUCCUACGGGAGGCAGCAGUAGGGAAUCUUCCGCAAUGGGCGAAAGCCUGACGGAGCAACGCCGCGUGAGUGAUGAAGGUCUUCGGAUCGUAAAACUCUGUUAUUAGGGAAGAACAUAUGUGUAAGUAACUGUGCACAUCUUGACGGUACCUAAUCAGAAAGCCACGGCUAACUACGUG